UGGUCUUAAACUAUAUAAGUUUUUGAGGGUAAAGGAGCAAUAGAAGCUAAACUCUGUUGAUAUUGCUCCUUUACCUUUUUUUAGUAGUCUUUUUAUUUAUACAUAAAAUCUUGAUUUACUUUAAGAUUCUUUAGUAUUCUUUAUUUCAGCAAAACAAAUUCGAAAAAAAAAGGAUUUGAAUGAAAUUUUCAAUUUUUUUUUUUUAUUUGUUGUUUAGUACUCUUAGUACUUUCUAAUUUAUACUUUUUUCUCAUCCAUCUUUUUUGCUUGCUUAUUUUAUCCUAUCUUAGAAGCUAGCUWCUURAAAAAAAUAAUAWGRAGAGUA
rnacentral:misc_RNA from 1 species